CAAUAGCGUAUAUUAAAGUUGUUGCAGUUAAAAAGCUCGUAGUUGGAUUUCUGAUCGAGACAUCAGGUCGGGUCCGAGAGGAUCAUGUACUUUGAUUUUGUUUUGACCAUCCUUGGGGAGAGCAUUUCUGGCAUUCAGUUGUCGGGAUUGGGAUCCUCAUCGUUUACUGUGAAAAAAUUAGAGUGUUCAAAGCAGGCCUCGGCCUCUGAAUACAUUAGCAUGGAAUAAUAAGAUAGGACUUUGGUGGUCUAUUUUGUUGGUUUGCACGCCAAAGUAAUGAUUAAUAGGGAUAGUUGGGGGUAUUCGUAUUCAAUUGUCAGAGGUGAAAUUCUUGGAUUUAUGGAAGACGAACUACUGCGAAAGCAUUUACCAAGGAUGUUUUCAUUAA
rnacentral:rRNA from 1 species